rnacentral:rRNA from 1 species
UCCUACGGGACGCAGCAGUGGGGAAUAUUGCACAAUGGGCGCAAGCCUGAUGCAGCGACGCCGCGUGGGGGAUGACGGCCUUCGGGUUGUAAACCUCUUUCAGCUACGACGAAGCGCAAGUGACGGUAGUAGCAGAAGAAGCACCGGCCAACUACGUGCCAGCAGCCGCGGUAAUACGUAGGGUGCGAGCGUUGUCCGGAAUUACUGGGCGUAAAGAGCUCGUAGGUGGUUUGUCGCGUUGUCCGUGAAAACUCGCAGCUUAACUGUGGGCGUGCGGGCGAUACGGGCAGACUGGAGUACUGCAGGGGAGACUGGAAUUCCUGGUGUAGCGGUGGAAUGCGCAGAUAUCAGGAGGAACACCGGUGGCGAAGGCGGGUCUCUGGGCAGUAACUGACGCUGAGGAGCGAAAGCGUGGGGAGCGAACAGGAUUAGAUACCCCUGUAGUCCG